GGACCAAGGAGUCUAGCAUGUGCGCGAGUCAUUGGGAUAUUGACUAAACCUAAAGGCGCAAUGAAAGUGAAGGUCCGCCUUGCGCGGGCCGAGGGAGGAUGGUCGGUCCCGAGGGACCGACUCGCACUCCCGGGGCGUCUCGUUCUCAUCGCGAGAAGAGGCGCACCCAGAGCGUACACGCUGGGACCCGAAAGAUGGUGAACUAUGCCUGGUCAGGACGAAGUCAGGGGAAACCCUGAUGGAGGUCCGUAGCGAUUCUGACGUGCAAAUCGAUCGUCGGAACUGGGUAUAGGGGCGAAAGACUAAUCGAACCAUCUAGUAGCUGGUUCCCUCCGAAGUUUCCCUCAGGAUAGCUGGCGCUCGCUUCUCGCGAGUCUCAUUCGGUAAAGCGAAUGAUUAGAGGCAUUGGGGUCGAAACGGCCUCAACCUAUUCUCAAACUUUAAAUGGGUGAGAUCUCCGGCUUGCUUGAACUGUGAAGCCGCGAGAUAUCGGAUCAGAGUGCCAAGUGGGCCACUUUUGGUAAGCAGAACUGGCGCUGUGGGAUGAACCAAACGCCGAGUUAAAGCGCCUAAAUCGACGCUUAUGGGAUACCAUGAAAGGCGUUGGUAACUUAAGACAGCAGGACGGUGGCCAUGGAAGUCGGA
rnacentral:rRNA from 1 species